UAUAUUUUCGAGUGGUUAUAGACACCAUGUCGACCGAGCGACGAAAAGUGCUACAAAAGUGCUGGAUUCUAACCCCGCCUUGCCCCCCGCAGGCUGCUCUGCCUAUAGUUCUAGCUAUAAUCGUACGCGAUUACAUGUCCGAGGGAAACGGCAUCACUGCUUUUUCUCUUUCUUUAUGAACUGUCAGCAAACGGACGGGAGCAUCAAAGUUCUAAACAAACAGUCUCAAAUAUCAGCUCGUUGUUGUGUACUGUAAUUCCAUCCAAAAUACUUCUCGGUACGGUAAAAAUGAGCAUGGAUUUUGUUUUUCGGAGACGAGCAAAUAAAAAAACAGUACGAAGAAAAUCGGACAGGUAACGAAUUCAUCUGCACAACGGCAGAAAUUAUUGAAAAAAAUGCGCAAAUUCUACGAACAUUCAAAAGCAUAUGCGUAUCUUCAUGUAGAACAAUCCUACAAAAGUCGGACGUAAUUGAAAAGCGGUUGAAGGAAUAAAUAGCGGUGCCUGAAUAAAACAAAAUCGAAGAAAUUGAGCGUCCAUUUCCGUUCGACUGUUUAAUGGAGAAGAUGGGUAAAAGAGGAAUAUUCGAGACAACACUCGCUGGACUCCCAUCUUCCGCCUCCAACUUUGGUGGAAGGAUUGCCGAUUAAACCGGACAAAUGAACACAUCUCAACGCAAUCACCAACAACUAACGUAUAUAACGUUUGUUCAGCUUACCCAUGAUAAUGAAUUAAAUUUGAUAAUCAUCACUUCACACACUUGAAUGAUCAUCGUGAAAUUAAUGUUCUUCUAUGCAAUUGAUUCUCAUCCCUCAAGAUACCACCACAGGUGAUGGAGGAAAUCAGUUGCCACUAGACUCGGUAUAAGCUGCAGUACAUCUGGAUGAUCUAGCGGAACUGCCAGGCACUCGACAAUCUCAGCUGAGGUUAUGAGGAUGUGUUACCUUCAAUAAAUCCGAAUCCCAACAAAAUUUCUGUCUCUCGAAAAAAAAGUCACAGAAUUCCAGGUAAUCUAAUACACUGAACGCCUCGUUAGUAGCCGGAGCCGGAGAAGAGAUUGGUUAUGAUAUUGAUGAUAAUGAUCAGCAAAUUAAUUUCGUAACUGCAUUGAAGACCACAUUUUUGAUACUGAAUGCUGCGGCUGUACAAAUCAUGUAGAGCACGAAUAUGACGAAGACAAUUGACACUAUUGUAUUUAUUUUUUAGUUUAUAUUCAAAAUUGAAAAAUACAGAAGAAUUUCAAAA